GACGAGCGCUGGCGGCGCGCUUAACACAUGCAAGUCGAACGGUGAACCGGGCUUCGGCCCGGGGAUCAGUGGCGAACGGGUGCGUAACACGUGGGCAACCUGCCCCUCACUCUGGGAUAACCCCGGGAAACCGGAGCUAAUACCGGAUACUCCGACCGGUCCGCAUGGUCCGAUCGGGAAAGGUCCGCCGGUGAGGGAUGGGCCCGCGGCCUAUCAGCUUGUUGGUGAGGUAACGGCUCACCAAGGCGACGACGGGUAGCUGGUCUGAGAGGGCGACCAGCCACACUGGGAAUGAGAUACGGCCCAGACUCCUACGGGAGGCAGCAGUGGGGAAUCUUGCGCAAUGGGCGAAAGCCUGACGCAGCGACGCCGCGUGGGGGACGAAGGCCCUCGGGUUGUAAACCCCUUUCGGCAGGGACGAAGCGAUCGUGACGGUACCUGCAGAAGAAGCCUCGGCUAACUACGUGCCAGCCGCCGCAGUAA
rnacentral:rRNA from 1 species